rnacentral:rRNA from 1 species
UACAGAGGGGGCAAGCGUUGUUCGGAAUUACUGGGCGUAAAGGGCGCGUAGGCGGCCUGCUAAGUCGAACGUGAAAUCCCCGAGCUCAACUCGGGAACUGCGUCCGAUACUGGUAGGCUUGAAUCCGGGAGAGGGAUGCGGAAUUCCAGGUGUAGCGGUGAAAUGCGUAGAUAUCUGGAGGAACACCGGUGGCGAAGGCGGCAUCCUGGACCGGCAUUGACGCUGAGGCGCGAAAGCCAGGGGAGCAAACGGG